UGCACUACGAGUGACCGAGUGACCGAUGUGUUCCUGGUGCAUCCGUUUCAUUGCUUACUUCCUUGCGCCGAUAAUAAAAGAACAGAGACACUCGGACGCGACGAGUCUCGCGAGAGACCUCCGCUCUCUCUGUUCUCUUAAGACGAAUCGUGUAGAAUCUAUCUAGGUAAAAGAACGAAUUUUUCAGCCUGUAAAUGAGAAACAGCUAACUUGGCAGACUGAGAAGCGAGGAGCGAAGAAUUCUAUGUUACGACUCGCAGAUGAACAUAAUGGUCCAGACGGGUAAAAGAUGAUGGACGAGUACCGGAAUAAGAAACGGACGAAUCUUUAAGAAUUUUUCAUAAACUUUCAAUAGAAUAAUUAAUGGCUAAACUACUAGCAAAUGUAGUUACGGAAUAUGUCGAAUGUUAAGUUCAAACACACGAUGUAUGCUCUGGUCAGUGGAAUUAUUCCGGAGGUCAAAGGGCUAACUCGAACAAGACCGGAUCAGAAAAAUCCACGAGCUUAUGGUCAUCACGUGGCACACACGCCAGGAACAUAGAAAAACUACGAAAAAAGAGUGCAAAGGCGAAGGUCGGGUAAAAUCGUUCCUGUUGUUUCGCCGCGAGAUUUCACGAGCCAAAGAAGCAGGAAGAUAUCGCGUAGCUUCUGUUAUCACAAGCGGAGCGGCGAAGAAGAGGCACGAGUAAGGUUAAGAAAAAAGAAACGAGCCAUAACCUCGAGUGACAUGAUUGCUAGGAUCGCGUUAUUACUAGGCUAAUGACGCAAUUGUAUCGCGAUACGCAUCGCAGGGGGUCUCCGUUGUCAUUGUUGUUUUCCACUUUGAACGUUGCACACGCAUCCUCUUUUCUACGCUCUCUCUCCCUCUCUCUUUUCUACUCUCCGCUUUUGCAUUCCGUCGACCCGAACCCAAUGUAUCUACCUUAGAUUCUCCGUUUUCAUCUCCGUGGUACGCGAUCCAAGUUAUUUCAUGGAUUAUCAAGAACCGACGUCAAUGGCGCGUGCUCGAUUUCUCAGAGGCGUCUGAUGAUGAAAUCUCACCAUCUAAUUACUCGCUACCGAUCGGAAUUUUCAAGCAUCGCGCUCAAACAGCUCGAGAGAAACGGUCUUUGCCCGUUUCCGUGUUUCCGUGAUCUAUGCGUGUCCUUGUCGAUCAACGGAAGAAACGUAGGAUUUACAAUCGAUGGGGAUGCAUACGAGUUUCAUCGCUAGUUUUGUCGAAGGUACGACAACAUGCGAUACACGAUAGAAACGCGAACGAAAAAUGUCCCGAUAGCCCUAUAAUAGCUUUGAUAACUCUUUUCCCGGUCUACCGAUAGCCGGACCAGUUGAAAUAAUGAAUUUCAUCCUCUACUCGAUAUUAUUCUUCUCAGCUUCCACACUCGGAUGGCUGGAGCCUAUCAACGGUUAGAUAGAAGAAGGGUUACUUGGACAAAAAAGACAUGGCAAAUACUGGAACAUUUGGAAUGGAAAUCGCGCGACCGCUUCUCAUCGAUAAACUUCAAGUUCCAACAAACUGAAAUCGAAUCGAAUUAAAUCGCUGAAACGACGAAAUGAAGGUAACAAGCCAUGAAUGAAGGAGGGAAGGGAAGGGGGACAUGGAAGAUUUAGAACGACGAAGGAAUACUUUAUCUGAUGACUAUACGAAUUCCAAGAAACACCCCUCUCCCGUCUCAAUUUACUCGCUCGCGGCUCCUGUACAAAAGUAGGUUACGGUUCUCGUCGGUUCCUCGUAAAACCCCCUACGUGCAUACUCGCACACCUACUUUUAUCAGGCCCACUCGUGCCUACACGUUCCACCGAGUGGGCACGCUUGUAUACGAGUCCGGUGUGACGAGUCAGCAGUAACCGAGAUUUCGACACGGACCUCCAGGUAUUCCCUGAUGUAGCUGCCAUCGACAAAUGGAGGUACCUAAUGAUCGUCAUUGCAUUCGCCGUAAAUUUUGCUUAUGUAGAACCCGCAGACUAACUCGUACAGGGAGCACACGCAAAGACAAACAUCGAGAGAUACAAUUUCGAAUCGCUAUUGCAUCAGCUUCCCAUUCACAGACACGCGUACCAUGAUUCGAUAUUCGUAGUUUACAAAAAAUUUAGCUCUUCCUUCGAUACUUUAAAUUAUCUCCUAUUCCCGAGAAGACAUUUUUUUUUUAUAUAUACUUAACGAAACGACAUAUUUAUAUAAUUUCUAUGGAAAAUACUGGAAGCAUACUACGACUUCGUUUGGCAAACUAUCGUUCGAUAUAGAACGUUCGAUUAUUUAAACUCUGUGUUCCACUAAUGUAAAAGUAUCGUUCUACGUGAACGUCGAUAUAGGUAAACACUUUAGAGUUAUUCGCACGUGUUUCGUUUUUUCAUAAGAAAAGAAAAAGAAAAAAGCGAAAGAAAGGAAGAACGAUGGAAGAUCACGAUGCAACCGCGGUCGUUGGUCCACAGUAGCCAACGAUCAGCUGCAGUUCGCUCCGUGGCGGGCGCUACUUACACUCUCGCCGCUAACUGCUCACCUUCACCUCGUCUCUUACUCAACGAUCGCGAUCGUGCCGAGUUCUACCCCCGUUGCGUAAUUACCGGCGCGCGAUCAUUACCGAGUCAAAUCGUCACUCGAGCGGAAUAAGUGCGUAUACCGAGUAAUAUAAAAUUAUGUUGGCCGUUCGUACGUACAAAGUACAAAAUCGGUGAGAAGCUCGAGUAUCACCGAAACCAGCGUCUCAUCCAGCUUAGUGCCGCGCCGCCAGAAUUAUCGGACAAACGUGUUAUCGAACAUGGCCUAGAGGGAUUGCCUCGCAUUCACCGUUGCUGAUGCAAUUUUCGUAAUUACAACCUACGGAUUAUGAUCGAGAUGUAUAACGAAUAAACAAUCGAAAGCUGGCUACGAUUUCGAUCAAUGCAAAUCAUGGUAGAAUCGAGAAAAUGGAUGUCAGCGAAGAAUAGCUUCGCGUAAAUGACACCGUCCAUUGGAUUUAUUUCUUUGAUUUAUUUCUUCAGAUAUAUAUCGAGAAUCUAUAGUUAGUACUCAAUUAAUUCCUCGUAUUCUUACAAUAUCGUGUUACACGCUCGUGGUACAGAUUAUAGUUACGAUGUAAACGAGGGCACGUUAUAUUUGAAAGAAAGUUUAAUUUCGACUUUAAUUUUAACUUCAGUUCUUUUAUACCGUAGAUCAUUGUAUUACAACGGAUAACUAAUGAUCCAUUAAGCAGCUACUAGAGAUAUCAUAAGACAAAGGGUUUCAUUUUAAUUACGGUGUAACUGCGAGUCAAUUUUUCGAAAGCAAACGAUUAUAUAACAAGGCGACAACAACUAAAGAACAACGGUUACUCGAGACAUUAAUGCAGUCACUUGAAACAAUCAAAGCGUUUUUGAAAUUAACCUCGCGAUAGCUCCUGUUAAAAAGAUUAACCCGUUGCAAAGAUAUCGUCGUUAACUAUAGCUUUUUGUAAGAACUGGCGCUUCGAUUACCACCAUAAAAAAGUGGAGACGCGUAGUAUGCUGCGCGUGUAGGUUCCAAGGACCUUCGGAUUUUUUCGUAGGCCAGUUCAACCGAUUCUUGAUAAGAAACGUCGUCUCUCUGACUUUUCCGCGCGCGUGAACACGCUUCAGAGACAAAGCUCGCGUCUUGCACGAAUUGAACGUUGAACUCCGACAAUGACACGAAGCAGGCAGCAUCUUUUCGACCGCUGAUCAUCGUGAAUCAUCAGUCGGUCACGAGUCGGCGAUAUUACACGACAACGAUACUUAUAUCGGUGCAGAUUUAGAUAAAUUGGUGGUUUUUUAGAAGGAAACCGAAUCAACUUCAAGUCGUGAACUUUUAAACUAUAACCAGGCAUAUCGUAUGUUAAUAAAACCAUCGAGUUAAUGCGAUCCAACGAAAUCAGUAGAACCGUAGAAGAACGAGCAUCGCUCGAGAACAGAAGAGGGACAUUUAUCGUGAGAUAGAAAAAAGCAGAAGAAUUUCUACGCAAUAAUUCAUAGUAACAGAGAAAACAUGUUUUGUCCAUGACACAAUGUGUAUUAGUGAAUCAACAAGAUCGUUCAUUUUGUUUAUUUUCCUCGAUAUAAUCGACGCGCUUCCGUCAUUAUUAUCGUCAUCCCUUUACGUAUGUCCCACGUUAGUAAUUUUUCUGGAAUAAGAAUGAAAUCGCGACAUGAACUUUGAGAUAGAUCGAGCCGUAUCCCGAUAACGUUGAACCGUAGAAUAUGCCACAAUGUACGAAGUUUGGCGAGGAAGUGCCACGAAAAACGAAGGACUCGAGUGAUCAAGCAGGGGAAGCGAUAGAACGCGAGGACAGUUUUAACUUUUAUCGAAUCUAGCGUCGCACCAUCGACCCCGUCGACCCUCAAAACCCGAUAAAACGAGCGGCUUCUAUUCGAACAUCAAAUGCGUUCGCGCGUUAUCGAGCUGUUUUAUCCUGUGGUAAACCGAACUGUCGCGUCAUCAUUGAAAAUUCCACGGUAUCUAUAAAGUUACUUGACCCUUUGGCACGUCGAAUUUUUUGACAAAUUUUUUCCAUAUUUUAGCACGAUUAUAUAUGUGUUCGAAGAAAUGUGACAUUGAAUAUAUCAUUCCACACGUUCCAUAUCUAUAUGGUUUAAACCGUCCCUAUAUGGUCAUAAUAUUAGAAUUUAGAGAGCUAAGCCAAACAAAUGUACGAAAAAAAUGUAUGGAGGAUACGAUUCGACGUUGUCGGAAAGUUUUCGUACGAUAAUCGUAUCAAUUAGUAUAUGCGAGACUAUGUUCCUCGUAAAGUAUUCCGUGAACGAAUGAUCCGAUCUCAGUUGUCCUUUACCCACAGAAGAUCGUCGAACGAGACUGGUCCGUGUAAAAUUCUCGUCUAUCCAGUGGCAGAAGUAAAAAUACUAAAAAGAAAACACCGAUACGCGGGCAUAGUUGAUUCGUAAAAUCCCUGCUGACUGACCUGAAUUAUACAUGUAUUGCAGCACAAAGAUCUGAUUAGAAUUCGAUGGUGUCUCGUGUAUAAUGCAAGAUCAUUAUCGUCCCUUAUCUUCGGCUCAAGUUCAGAUACCAUUUUUUUACUAUUAUGAUAACCCACAAUAUAAACGAAGAAAAUGAAAAGAAGAACUAUAACCGGCAAUUGUGUCUAGUGUAGCGUUGAAACGAUUACACUGAGCCAGCGCAGCCUUACGAUUCAUACUUGGGAAGUAGAAAGAUCUACUGGAAGAUCGAAUCAACCUGUAAGAGAGAGAAGGAUGGAAUUGAUACGCGUUUCUCUCUGAUGCAUCCAACGAACGUUUGGAAAGGGACCAGAACGACGAUAAUAUAGCUAGAAAAGAGUAGAAGAAUGUUAUCGUUAUCGGUGUUCCGUGGCAGGCAAACAUCGACUGCUUUAACACAAAGAAUCGCAAGGAAAAUAUGCAAUAACAUAUUAUCAUAUUUCGUAUUGUAACACAUAGUACGUCGACUACAUGGGUGGUGCGAUCACGACACAGACCAAUCAGUGAACACGGUAAAGUGCCUUACCCCCUUACACGUGACCCUGUCUUCAUCAUGACUACGUCAUAUCGCUGACCCCACGAGCAAAAUAAUACGCGAUAUUUAACAACGUUUUACCGAAACACCAACAUAUUUUGUACUCCAUGGUAUCGAAGUGUGACGUGCCCUCGCUUUUGAUUAUCUUAAUGUUAUAAAUCACGCGAUACAUGGACCGUGGAGUACGCCUCCACGUGGAACGAUAUGUCAAGUCGCCGCUCGGACCGUGUUCUACUCCAACGAAAAGUUCGAAGGUUCCUUUUUUUCGGGAAACUCGUUAUCGUUAUUGAUACAGAUAAUCGUUUCGUAGCAAUAAAUCAGUCCUGCAUUAUAGGAGUCUCUCCAUGAGUACGAAAGAAAUACAAGAGAAGUAAAUAUAACGUUUAUAGAAUAGCCUUAAAACGUUGAUAGUUAUGCACAAACAGAAGUGUAGUUUAUAGUAUUCUUGGUACACGUAUUUGCGUUAAUAAAAUAUACAACAUUAUUAUUAAAUUAAUUCGGCUGUACUUACUCGGUUUCCAAUAUUUCUUUCAUUUAUUUAGGAAAAUAAAUUCAAACUGACGACCCUCUGCGUCGCACGUUCAUAUACUCCUAGCGCCAUCAACCGGGAUUGUCUGAAAGAAUAUAUAGCAAUGAAUUUUACUGUAUUGGCAAUAGUCGAUAAGUACAUGGAUAUUCUAAAAAUACAAACAUACAUAUAUAUGAAAAUUUUCAAUCGUAUAUAUUUUUUACUUCAUUAGCCAAUCAUAAAAAAAUAAGAAAUAAUACAGAUGUAGAUAUUUCUCCGUUUUUAUCGAAUUUUCUAUAAUAAUUAUUUUAUUUUUUAAUAGUUAUAGCAUGUUAUAAUACCACAGACAAGGUGUACAAUAGACAUUCAAUGCUUUUUGGUAUUUCACGCCUUGGGAUAAGUUGACCUGACCCCUUACCAUUCUUGUGUCUAAGUUACUCUUACUAGUUACGUCUCGCUAUGUUAUUAUUAUUAUUAUCGAUUCAGUAUGGUAGAGUGAAUGAUAGAAGUACAUGUUAUCACAGACAAGUAUCUGUAGUAUCAUAUACUAGAGCUUUAUGUAUAUAAUCUCUUUCCAUACAAAUUCUAAAUAAACGAAUCAAAUAUGGACUAUAA